GGCUGGUCUGAGGGUAUAGUCAGUUAUCUCAACUGACUGUUCACAGCUACAGACCGAACUCCUUGUUCUACUCUUUUCCCCCUGUGUCACUGCUGCUGCAGUUGACUAGUUUAGA
rnacentral:Y_RNA from 1 species